rnacentral:piRNA from 1 species
UACAAACAUUUUACUUGUAGCUUUCUGAGG